AACGAACGCUGGCGGCAGGCUUAACACAUGCAAGUCGAACGCCCCGCAAGGGGAGUGCCUGAUGUGUGUGUAACGCGUGGGAACAUACCCUUUUUUACGGGAUAGCUCUGGGAAACUGGCAUUAAUAUCGCAUACGCCCUAUGGGGGUAAGAUUCAACGGGGAAGGAUUGGCCCGCGUUGGAUUAGCUAGUUGGUGGGGUAAAGGCCUGCCAAGGCGACGAGCCAUAGCUGGUCUGAGAGGAUGAUCAGCCACAUUGGGACUGAGACACGGCCCAGACUCCUACGGGAGGCAGCAGUGGGGAAUAUUGGCCAAUGGGCGCAAGCCUGAUCCAGCCAUGCCGCGUGAGUGAUGAAGGCCUUAGGGUUGUAAAGCUCUUUCACCGAUGAAGAUAAUGACGGUAGUCGGAGAAGAAGCCCCGGCUAACUUCGUG
rnacentral:rRNA from 1 species